rnacentral:rRNA from 1 species
UGGGGAAUAUUGCACAUUGGGCGCAAGCCUGAUGCAGCCAUGCCGCGUGUAUGAAGAAGGCCUUCGGGUUGUAAAGUACUUUCAGCGGGGAGGAAGGGAGUAAAGUUAAUACCUUUGCUCAUUGACGUUACCCGCAGAAGAAGCACCGGCUAACUCCGUGCCAGCAGUCGCGGUAAUACGGAGGGUGCAAGCGUUAAUCGGAAUUACUGGGCGUAAAGCGCACGCAGGCGGUUUGUUAAGUCAGAUGUGAAAUCCCCGGGCUCAACCUGGGAACUGCAUCUGAUACUGGCAAGCUUGAGUCUCGUAGAGGGGGGUAGAAUUCCAGGUGUAGCGGUGAAAUGCGUAGAGAUCUGGAGGAAUACCGGUGGCGAAGGCGGCCCCCUGGACGAAGACUGACGCUCAGGUGCGAAAGCGUGGGGAGCAAACAGG